GAAAAUCAUGGUUUGGUUUGAAUUAUGUUAUUUAAUCAUCGGUUUGAGUUGCUAUUGAAACUUGCUUUAGGUAAUAACAAUAGAAGCCAAAUACAAUUUGACUGUUUUGUUAUAAUUGGUUAAAUUUUUCUUAUUUUUUUUAAGUCAAGGAUUUAAGAUAAAGAAGUGGGCAAAUAAUCAUUAGCCAAAAUCUUGAGAGUAAAAGAACCAAACUAAACUGGCGAAACCAAAUCGAACCUAUUUUGAUGUCUACGAGGUUUCUAAUCACUCCAUCGAGAUAAGUACUAUUUUCCUACUUUAUCGAGUAGCAAACUAAUAAUCAUAAUAUGAUUGCGUGAUCAUGUCUUAUGAUAGAAAUCUUGAACUAUUUUCCCCUAAAUUUUACACAAUAA
rnacentral:lncRNA from 1 species